rnacentral:rRNA from 1 species
UGGCUCAGAUUGAACGCUGGCGGCAGGCUUAACACAUGCAAGUCGAGCGGGGGAGAUUGCUUCGGUGAUUGACCUAGCGGCGGACGGGUGAGUAAUACUUAGGAAUCUGCCUAUUAAUGGGGGACAACAUCUCGAAAGGGAUGCUAAUACCGCAUACGCCCUACGGGGGAAAGCAGGGGAUCACUUGUGACCUUGCGUUAAUAGAUGAGCCUAAGUCGGAUUAGCUAGUUGGUGGGGUAAAGGCCUACCAAGGCGACGAUCUGUAGCGGGUCUGAGAGGAUGAUCCGCCACACUGGGACUGAGACACGGCCCAGACUCCUACGGGAGGCAGCAGUGGGGAAUAUUGGACAAUGGGGGGAACCCUGAUCCAGCCAUGCCGCGUGUGUGAAGAAGGCCUUAUGGUUGUAAAGCACUUUAAGCGAGGAGGAGGCUCCUGUAGUUAAUACCUACAGUGAGUGGACGUUACUCGCAGAAUAAGCACCGGCUAACUCU